GGUAUUGUUUGCCCCACUAUAAGCCCCGGAAACUUAAUUGGUGUCAAACAGCAC
rfam:Lactobacillus perolens DSM 12744 Scaffold4, whole genome shotgun sequence.